rnacentral:rRNA from 1 species
AACGAACGCUGGCGGCAUGCCUAACACAUGCAAGUCGAACGAGAGCAUCGGAUGUGGUGGCGCACGGGUGCGUCACGCGUGGGACCCUGCCCUUAGAUUCGGGAUACCUCCCCGACGGGGGGGCUAAUGCCGGAUAAUGUCUUCUGACCCCAGAUUUAUCGCCGUUGGAUGGGCACGCGUUGGAUUAGCUAGUUGGUAGGGUAAAAGCCUACCAAGGCGACGAUCGAUAGCUGGGCUGAGAGGAAGCGCAGCCACACUGGGGCGGGGACACGGUCGAGACUCCUACGGGAGGGAGGAGUGGGGAAUACUGGAAUACGGGCGGAAGCCUGAUGGAGCUAGGGCGGGUGAGUGAUGAAGGCGUUAGAGUUGUAAAGCACUUUUAUACGGGAUGAUAAUGACAGUACCGGGAGAAUAAGCACCGGCUAACUCCGUG